GAUGGGGGCUGCCCUUUGUACCACUCUGUGCAGACAUGCAGCAACCAGACACCAUGCAGCUCUUCAGAACCUGUCCUAGAGCUCAGCAUGCUCUUCUGCACCAAGCUGUUGCAUUGAGAAAGUCUUUCCUAUUUGAAUGCUUCUUGAGGAUGAAAGUGAAAGCAAGAAGGACGUAUCUCAAAUCACUGAUAGGAUUAUUUCUAGCAAAGGAUUAACGGGG